AAGAGCUCAUCAUUGGAAUCUGGCGGUGUUGCACCGUCCGAGUUGUAGAUGAGGAGUGGUUCAUCUGGACUGCAUGGCGUCCAAGUACAAUAGGCCGUCAGUGGGACAUCAUAGAGGGUGACAAUCCCGUCCUUGAUGCCAAUGUGCAAGUCCAUUACGAUGACCAUCUCAGAGAGUCGAGCAGUUUGGGAUUUGCUGCUUAAACAUGGGAGGUAGAUUCCUUCUAAAGCUAAAUACAGGCAAGAGACCGAUAGAGAACAAGUACCGCAAGGGAAAGAUGAAAUAGCACUCUGUGAAGGGAGUCAAAAGGCGUGAAAUUGUUGCGAGAGAAGCGAUUCAAGUCAGCGUAGCUAGGCCCAUUAAGCCUCUUUGCGCUUUGGACUAGCUUUGCCAGCGGUCUUGUCCUUAGAGACUUGACUUGUAUGUCCAGCCUGGUAUGCACAGGUAGCCCUCCGGGGUCAGUGACAUGGCUGGUGGAAUGGCUUGCAAUCGACCCGUCUUGAAACACGGACCAAGGAGUCUAACAUGUAUGCGAGUAUAAGGGUGGCAAACCCGUAUGCGCAAUGAAAGUGAUUUUCGGUGAUUGAGAA
rnacentral:rRNA from 1 species